AUGGCUAUGGUUUUAAGGUAUGUUGAUAAACAUGGGUAUGCGAUUGAGAGGUUCAUUGGGAUUAAGCAUGCUGGUGACACAAGAGCGGCUUCUCUAAAAGCAGCUUUGGAUGGUAUGUUUCUUAAACAUGGCUUGUCUAUGUCUAAAUUGAUAGGGCAAGGGUACGACAGAGCUUCUAACAUGAGAGGACAAUUUCAUGGGUUGCAAAGGUUGAUACUAGAUGAAAAUCAUUAUGCAUUUUAUCAUCAUUGCUUUGCCCAUCAGUUGCAGUUAGUGGUUGUUGCUGUUGCCAAGUGUUGUUCCUCUGUAUUGGAUUUCUUUGACCACAUGACUUUGAUUGUCAACACUGUCAAUGCUUCUUGUAACAGACAUGAUGAAAUAGCUCAAGAACAACAUGAUAAUAUUGUGAGUCAAUUGGAGUCUGGGGAAAAAAAUUCUGGAAGAGGGGAAAACUAA
rnacentral:rRNA from 1 species